AGGCAGAUCACUUUUGUGAUAUCAAACAGAAAAAAAAAAACAAAACUCAAAGGGAGAGAUCAAAUUGAGAGAAACUUAGAUUUCCUUCUUCAUUUUUCCUCCCUAAUUUGCGAAUCACCAAACGCUACCUCACGUCACUUCCACGUUCACGCUACUCUCCUCUGCCCGUACACCCUUCUUCACUCGUCACAAUCUCCCUCGUCUGUGCGCUGCCUCCCACUGUUAACCCCCACAAACUUGUUCCUCUCCAACAAACCUGUAACUUCCGUUAACUUCCGCCGUUCCCUUGUUACAUCAGUAGGUUCAAGUGGCACUUAUUAUUGUUUUUUCUUCUUCUUGUAUCUUAUGUCUUUCAAUGGAGGUGUGUUCUUGGUUGCUGUGCUUGAUCAUGCUCCUGGGUUUCUCUUAUCUAGCAGUGCUUUCAGAAAACAACAAAACCAUGAUGAGCCUUAUGAUCUUCCUCCCAUAU